rnacentral:rRNA from 1 species
GAUGAACGCUGGCGGCGUGCCUAAUACAUGCAAGUCGAGCGAACAGAUGAGGAGCUUGCUCCUCUGACGUUAGCGGCGGACGGGUGAGUAACACGUGGAUAACCUACCUAUAAGACUGGGAUAACUUCGGGAAACCGGAGCUAAUACCGGAUAAUAUAUUUAACCGCAUGGUUCAAUAGUGAAAGACGGUUUUGCUUUCCCUUAUAGAUGGAUCCGCGCCGCAUUAGCUAGUUGGUAAGGUAACGGCUUACCAAGGCAACGAUGCGUAGCCGACCUGAGAGGGUGAUCGGCCAAACUGGAACUGAGACACGGUCCAGACUCCUACGGGAGGCAGCAGUAGGGAAUCUUCCGCAAUGGGCGAAAGCCUGACGGAGCAACGCCGCGUGAGUGAUGAAGGUCUUCGGAUCGUAAAACUCUGUUAUUAGGGAAGAACAAAUGUGUAAGUAACUAUGCACGUCUUGACGGUACCUAAUCAGAAAGCCACGGCUAACUACGUG